rnacentral:rRNA from 1 species
AUUGAACGCUGGCGGCAUGCCUUACACAUGCAAGUCGAACGGUAACAGGUCUUCGGAUGCUGACGAGUGGCGAACGGGUGAGUAAUACAUCGGAACGUGCCUAGUAGUGGGGGAUAACUACUCGAAAGAGUGGCUAAUACCGCAUGAGAUCUACGGAUGAAAGCAGGGGAUCGCAAGGCCUUGUGCUACUAGAGCGGCCGAUGGCAGAUUAGGUAGUUGGUGGGAUAAAAGCUUACCAAGCCGACGAUCUGUAGCUGGUCUGAGAGGACGAUCAGCCACACUGGGACUGAGACACGGCCCAGACUCCUACGGGAGGCAGCAGUGGGGGAUUUUGGACAAUGGGCGCAAGCCUGAUCCAGCAAUGCCGCGUGCAGGAUGAAGGCCUUCGGGUUGUAAACUGCUUUUGUACGGAACGAAAAGCCCUGGGUUAAUACCCUGGGGUCAUGACGGUACCGUAAGAAUAAGCACCGGCUAACUACGUGCCAGCCGCCGCCGUAAAAC